rnacentral:lncRNA from 1 species
GUAUGAUGCCUGUUACUAGCAUUCACAUGGAACAAAUUGCUGCCGUGGGAGGAUGACAAAGAAGCAUGAGUCACCCUGCUGGAUAAACUUAGACUUCAGGCUUUAUCAUUUUUCAAUCUGUUAAUCAUAAUCUGGUCACUGGGAUGUUCAACCUUAAACUAAGUUUUGAAAGUAAGGUUAUUUAAAAGAUUUAUCAGUAGUAUCCUAAAUGCAAACAUUUUCAUUUAAAUGUCAAGCCCAUGUUUGUUUUUAUCAUUAACAGAAAAUAUAUUCAUGUCAUUCUUAAUUGCAGG